UUUUUUUUUUUUAUUUGAGCACUGUCUCUGGACAUCUUCAGCCCAGAAUCUUCUCAGGAGCAAAGGCUUCCCGAUGCCUCAUUCAUGUCAAGAAAGGAGGCCAGGAGCCAUCCUGUGUUCCGAUGACUGAGGCAGUGACUACGAGGGCAGGACAAUGCCGUGAGAAACACUUCAUGGUGACAGAGUCCAACCCAGCCGGGAACGGCUGCGAUGAGGAAGCUCUGGAGCAUUUUGUGAGCACCGUCUCGGUGGAUGGAAAAGCCAAAGUCUGCCCCUCUCCUACUGGGGACACUAAACCCCCUCCCUGGGUUGACCUCACAGACAUUGAAGUGAGUCUGCCCACAAAGGAAAAGAGGCCAGAGACCGCCAUGAAGACAUCCACUAGGUACCAGAAGGAAAGUUGAGGGGCCAAAAAAGACAAUAAAAGGUAUCUGGAGAGGUCA